AUUGGGUUGACUGAAAUGUUCAUUUGGGUUUUUCUGUAAGAUGUUAUAGGAAAACCCAAAUGAACAUUUUGGCCAACUCAAU
rnacentral:miRNA from 1 species